UUUCUUUUCUUUAGUUACUUAUCCAGAUGAUGAAUCAUGUGGAUUCAUGAUGGAAUAAUGUAUCCUCUACUGGCUUUGAUUUUAAAGGCUGGUAGGAAUAGAAUUUCACCUGAGAGAACUGCUAUGGGAAAAUCACUUCACCAGGAAAGGCUGAACAUUCAUCACAAUAAUCCUCAAAAUCGGAGACCCAAGCUUCCUCCUUCACCUAUUAGGAAAGAGACGGUUUAGCUGACCUUGGAAAUGUCUGCUGAACUUACUUAUGCAUAAGCAAGGACAGUGUGGUGUGGCAGAAAAGCAGCCUGUUUGGGUAGGAGGAGAACACCCCCCAAAAGUGAACCCAACCCUAGUUCUGUGGUGUGUCAUCACUAUGCUUCCUUCAAAGUCUUAGAAAGUGGAAACCUGUUUAGAAGUGUGAUCAUCAUGUACACCAGAAAUAAGGCUAUACCUGGUGGGGAUAGAUGGAGGGACAGAAUGCUAAAUUUAACAAGACCUGAAGACUGGAAAAAUCCUAUGGAGGAAGACUCGAAUGCAGCAGGAAGAUAUUUUCUUCUAGUUUAUUUUAAGUAGAAACUGGCAGCUGUCUUUCCUCCUGCAGAGUCAGCUGCAAAACACAACUUAGAGAUGGAGGAAGAUGCCCAUCCCAGUAAAAGAGAAAUGCUGACUGAUGAUCUAACAUAUCAUUCUAUUUUAUCUAUCUAUCUAUCUAUCUAUCUAUCUAUCUGUCUGUCUAUCUUACUGUUACCUUUUCACCAUUAUUGUUUUGCUUUCAGUUUCAUCUUGCCUUAAUAGGCAUUCAUGAUGGACUCCCCCAAUGCAUUCUCUUUUCCCCACUACUUAUAACAACUCAUGUAUAUUCCCUCUCACCCCUAAUUUACUCCUCUUUUUCCCCUUCACACAUUCUCCUUUUUAACUUCUUAAACUGUUGUUUCAAACAUGAUUACAUUUAUCCUAGCACUAUCCUAUGCCAUUUUUGAACCUCAUUAGGGAUACAGUCAAAUAAAAAUGCGUUUCAAUAAAAUAAUUAGUUUCA
rnacentral:lncRNA from 1 species